rnacentral:lncRNA from 1 species
UAUAAACAAAAUGAACGAUACAGCAUUUAAAAAGGUUUUGCAACAAUCGAACACAAAAGAAAUAAAUUGUUGUUUAAAAUUGAUACCAAAACGUAGUAAAAGUAACAAUAAAAAAACGUAUUCUAGAAGUAAUUGUAUAUUUUUUAACAAUACAUCAAAAUCAAACGAAAAAGAAGGAGAAAGAGAAAGAGAAAGAGAAAGAGAAAGUAAAAGAGAGCAUUCGAUAAAUCGAAUACAUAGUUACAAAUUACCAAGUAAUAAUUAUAUUGACAAUGUAUUGAAAAUUAAAAAAUAUAUAAAAUUGCCUAAAGGUAUUAAUAAUGAAGUUGAUAAAAACAAAUGGAAAGAGGCACAAAGUUUAAGAUAUAGAAUGAAAAUGUAUGAUGCUAUGACAAGAAAAAAAAUCAAACAAAGCAGCAUUAUUAAUAAUAAAGCUAAAUAUAAUAGAGAAAGAUAUAUUAUUUUAAACAAAAUUCCAUUAUAUAGAGAAGCCUUUCCUUCAAGCGCUAAAACACCAUCAGAUAAAAAUAAAAAAGAUGUUAUUCGAAAUUAUCUUAAAAUGCAUGCUUCUUAUUUGAUUUCUGAAAUACAAGAAGGUAUAAAAAAUAGCCAUUUAGACGAACAUAUAAAGUAUAGUACUAUAUCAAACAAAUAUAAAGAUUAUACACGUGAUGAUUGUAAAGGCAAGUUUUUAAAUAAUAGUUCAACUUUUUCUAAAAAACCGUGCUGUUCUUGCAAUUCUCAUAAUACUCACACGUGUAGCCCACACAUAUCUCCAUGUAAACAAUCUUGCAGCACACGAUGUCCCCAAACGCACAAGUCUGACUUUGGCUUAUAUAAACUAUCUAAUAAUAAUAUUAAAAAUGAAAAAACAAAACAACAAAAAAAAGAUUUAUCAUAUAAUUUAUGGAAAAAAAAAAUCAUUGAUGAUAUUAAAAAUGGAAAUAUUAGUACACAUGAUAGCCAGUAUUUAAAAAAACACGGCUUUAAAAAAUUUUAUCUACAAGAUGAAAAUACGAACAUAACCAAUGUAAAUCAUAAUAAUACAAAUUAUGACAAUGUCUCAGUAAAUGAUGCUCAUAAUAAUAUACAAAAGUCGUCAAAUAGUUAUAAUAGAAUAUAUGGAAAAAAACCAUCCAAUUUAAAAAUUUCAAAUUGCAAACUAAACUUAAAGAUAAAAGAGACGAUACCACUAUCCUCAAAAAUUACAUCUUCUAAUAAAAAAAAAACAAAAGUUUCUUAUGAACAUAAUAUGAAUAAGCCAAAUAUCAAUUACAACAUUGAUUCAGAUAGUACAUACAAUUCGGACACACGUGAUUACUCGGAUGCUUGUACAGAUGUUGUGCAUAAUGGUGUCAUAAAUAGUUAUAUAAAAAAGGCUGUAGGUAGUCAUUAUGAAUAUAUAAAUGGUACCCAUAAUAGUGGCAACUACAAUAAUGGUAACUAUAAUAGUAGUCACGAUUAUAAUUCAAAUAAAACCACAAAUGUAUAUCAACCUAACCUUAACAGCUAUCACAGUCUUAAUAAACAACAAAUCUUAAUAAAUGAAAAUUCUGGUUAUAAAAAAAAGAGGUUUGCUAUAACGGGGAAAAUUAAAAAAAAUAAAAAUAUAGAAGUAAGUCUAGUUUUAAACAAAGUGUAAUUUGAAUUUGUAAACGUCAGCAUAUAUAAAAUAUCAUACGCAAGAAUCAAACAUAAUUUUAUUUAAAAAAAAAAAAAAAAUAAAUAAUUAAAUAAUAUAAAAAUAAUUGAUAAA